rnacentral:rRNA from 1 species
UACGUAGGGUGCAAGCGUUGUCCGGAUUUAUUGGGCGUAAAGAGCUCGUAGGCGGUUUGGCAAGUCGGGUGUGAAACCUCCAGGCUCAACCUGGAGACGCCACUCGAUACUGCUAUGACUUGAGUCUGGUAGGGGAUCACGGAAUUCCUGGUGUAGCGGUGAAAUGCGCAGAUAUCAGGAGGAACACCGGUGGCGAAGGCGGUUCUCUGGGCAUUGACCUGACGCUGAGGAGCGAAAGUGUGGGGAGCGAACAGG